GGUCCCACCUGACCCCAUGCCGAACUCAGAAGUGAAACGCCGUAGCGCCGAUGGUAGUGUGGGGUUUCCCCAUGCGAGAGUAGGGAACUGCCAGGC
rnacentral:rRNA from 2 species